UACGAAGGGGGCUAGCGUUGCUCGGAAUCACUGGGCGUAAAGCGCACGUAGGCGGACUCUUAAGUCGGUGGUGAAAUCCUGGAGCUCAACUCCAGAACUGCCUUCGAUACUGGGAGUCUUGAGUCUGGGAGAGGUGAGUGGAACUCCGAGUGUAGAGGUGAAAUUCGUAGAUAUUCGGAAGAACACCGGUGGCGAAGGCGGCUCACUGGCUCGUUUCUGACGCUCAGGCGCGACAGCGUGGGGAUCAAACAGG
rnacentral:rRNA from 1 species